AUUGAACGCUGGCGGAAUGCUUUACACAUGCAAGUCGAACGGUAGAGGGGGCAACCCCUCGAGAGUGGCGAACGGGUGAGUAAUAUAUCGGAACGAGCCCAGUCGUGGGGGAUAACGUAGCGAAAGUUACGCUAAUACCGCAUACGAUCUAAGGAUGAAAGCGGGGGAUCGCAAGACCUCGCGCGAUUGGAGCGGCCGAUAUCAGAUUAGGUAGUUGGUGGGGUAAAGGCCCACCAAGCCAACGAUCUGUAGCUGGUCUGAGAGGACGACCAGCCACACUGGAACUGAGACACGGUCCAGACUCCUACGGGAGGCAGCAGUGGGGAAUUUUGGACAAUGGACGCAAGUCUCAUCCAGCCAUUCCGCGUGCAGGAUGAAGGCCCUCGGGUUGUAAACUGCUUUUGUACGGAACGAAGAGGUCUCUCUUAAUACGGGGGACUCAUGACGGUACCGUAAGAAUAAGCACCGGCUAACUACGUGCCAGCCGCCGCGGUAA
rnacentral:rRNA from 1 species